GUGGCGUGCAGACUGGAGCAGCCAGGGAUCAAACCUCCAACCUUCCAGUUAGUAAUUCUACCUGCUGAGCUACAGUCUGUACUUCCUGAACAUCACACCCUCCUUUUGUUUCUUUAUUUCCAGUAGCAACCAGGACCAUAAUGAACCCUGACUCCCACAGACACUCAGGAUCCACCUGCCCAAGCUGCAUGAACCUGUUGUUGAUGUCAGAGAGUCAAACUCUGCUGAAGAGUGGGUUGUUUCCUGUUCAGCCACUGGUCGACCUGCUCCCACUGUAACACUCAGUGUCUCACAGUACAACACUGUCAUGUGUCCAACACCAACGCUACAGUCACUGUCACCACUACAGCUGUGCUCUCAGGUUCACGUAAACACAGCACACAGGUGGGAUGUGCAGCACGAGUGCUCUCUGCUCCUCACAGAGAGGUGAUGGAGACGAUUCCUGAGGUCCAGCAGACGUCAGAUUAUCAGUGAUGGCUACACAACCUUCUUUGCCAUUUGAGUGUGUCCAGUCCAGCUGAAACCAGCUCAUUACUGAUGGCAUGAAAACGAUCUGUGAGUCGUGUCCACAGAGGCUUCGCACACGGACUGUGUAGGUCUGAAGGAGGCUCAAUUUGAAGUCCAAUACAAGACUCAACAAGAGCAAAUAGGAACACUCCAACAACAGCUCCUAGAAGCUCAACACCAACUCAAGGAACAGGAAGACAAACAUAGGCAGGACCAGGAGACACUGAACAUGGAAAUCAGUGAGCUUAAAUCCCAGCUCUGCUCCAACAAGGAGCUUCAUGACAUGAAAGUAGAGACUCUUUAUCAAGAGUUGAAAGAAGUCAAAGCGUCCUACAUUAAAAUCACACAGGAGCAAAAUGAACAAAAUUCCAACACAGCAAAUGGAAAAUCUGAGCUUCUGGUGGAAAAAGACACCAAAGAACAGGACAAGGAAGAAGAAGAAGACUCCCUGACAUCAACUGAGAUGUCUCUGCAUGACUCUCUACAACAAAC
ensembl:lncRNA